rnacentral:rRNA from 1 species
UACGUAGGUGGCAGGCGUUGUCCGGAUUUACUGGGCGUAAAGAGCGCGCAGGCGGUCAGAUAAGUCGAAUGUGAAAGCCCCCGGCUCAACUGGGGAGGGUCAUUCGAUACUGUUCGACUCGAAGGCAGGAGAGGGAAGUGGAAUUCCCGGUGUAGUGGUGAAAUGCGUAGAUAUCGGGAGGAACACCAGUGGCGAAGGCGACUUCCUGGCCUGUUCUUGACGCUGAGGCGCGAAAGCUAGGGGAGCAAACGGG